GCAGCUGCGGUAAUACCGGCAGCUCAAGUGGUCGUCGCUUUUAUUGGGCCUAAAACGUCCGUAGCCUGUUUGGUAAAUCUGUGGGUAAAUCAACUCGCUCAACGAGUUGAAUUCUGCAGAGACUGCCAGACUAGGGACCGGGAGAGGUGUGGGGUACUCUAGGGGUGGGGUAAAAUCCUGUCAUCCUUCGAGGACCACCAGUUGCGAAGGCGCCACACUGGAACGGAUCCGACGGUCAGGGACGAAGCCUAGGGGCACGAACCGGAUUAGAUACCCGGGUAGUCCUAGGUGCAAACGCUGUGAACUUGGUGUCGGGGGUCCGCAAGGGGCCCCCGGUGCCGGAGUGAAGAUGUUAAGUUCACUGCCUGGGGAGUACGGUCGCAAGGCUGAAACUUAAAGGAAUUGGCGGGGGAGCACUGCAACGGGAGGAGCGUGCGGUUUAAUUGGAUUCAACGCCGGAAAACUCACCAGGGCCGACUGUUAGAUGAAGACCAGCGUGAUGAGCUUGUCGGAUUUUCAGAGAGGUGGUGCAUGGCC
rnacentral:rRNA from 1 species